rnacentral:rRNA from 1 species
UCCGCUGACGACCGGCGCACGGGUGCGUAACGCGUAUGCAAUCUACCUUAUACUGGAGGAUAGCCCAGAGAAAUUUGGAUUAACACUUCAUAGUAUGUUUACCUCGCAUGGGGAAAACAUUAAAGGUUACGGUAUAAGAUGAGCAUGCGUCCUAUUAGCUAGAUGGUGUGGUAACGGCACACCAUGGCAUCGAUAGGUAGGGGCCCUGAGAGGGGGAUCCCCCACACUGGUACUGAGACACGGACCAGACUCCUACGGGAGGCAGCAGUGAGGAAUAUUGGACAAUGGAGGCAACUCUGAUCCAGCCAUGCCGCGUGCAGGAAGACUGCCCUAUGGGUUGUAAACUGCUUUUAUACGGGAAGAAACGGCUCUACGUGUAGAGCUUUGACGGUACCGUAAGAAUAAGGAUCGGCUAACUCCGUGCCAGCAGCCGCGGUAAUACGGAGGAUCCAAGCGUUAUCCGGAAUCAUUGGGUUUAAAGGGUCCGUAGGUGGAUAAUUAAGUCAGAGGUGAAAGUCUGCGGCUCAACCGUAGAAUUGCCUUUGAAACUGGUUAUCUUGAAUUAUUAUGAAGUAGUUAGAAUAUGUAGUGUAGCGGUGAAAUGCAUAGAUAUUACAUAGAAUACCAAUUGCGAAGGCAGAUUACUAAUAAUAUAUUGACACUGAUGGACGAAAGCGUGGGGAGCGAACGGGAUUAGAUACCCCGGUAGUCCACGCCGUAAACGAUGGAUACUAGCUGUUCGGACUUCGGUCUGAGUGGCUAAGCGAAAGUGAUA